UACGUAGGCAGCGAGCGUUGUUCGGAGUUACUGGGCGUAAAGGGUGCGUAGGCGGUUGUUUAAGUUUGGUGUGAAAUCUCCCGGCUCAACUGGGAGGGUGCGCCGAAUACUGAAUGACUAGAGUGCGGGAGAGGAGAGUGGAAUUCCUGGUGUAGCGGUGAAAUGCGUAGAUAUCAGGAGGAACACCGGUGGUGUAGACGGCUCCCUGGACCGUAACUGACGCUGAGGCACGAAAGCGUGGGUAGCAAACAGG
rnacentral:rRNA from 1 species